GACAGGCACUAUAAAGCCAACCCAAUUCCCUUAGCUCGGGUCCUUUUCCAGCAUACCCGGAAGCUACCGAGAUGGAGAGAGAGGAACAGAACAAACAAACAAUGCGCUCAUCCACAACAUUGAUAAGACCUGAGCCCUAGGACCAUGCCUCAGGACUACCUGACAUGAUGACUCCUUGCUGUCCCCAGUCCACCUGGCCGUGCUGCUGCUCCAGUUUCAACUGUUCUGCCUUAUUAUUAUUGGACCAUGCUGGUCAUUUAUGAACAUUUGAACAUCUUGGCCAUGUUCUGUUAUAAUCUCCACCCGCCACAAGAUCUCCACCCGCCACAGACUGGCCACCCCACAUAGCCUGGUUCCUCUCUAGGUUUCUUCCUAGGUUUUGGCCUUUCUAGGGAGUUUUUCCUAGCCACCGUGCUUCUACACCUGCAUUGCUUGCUGUUUGGGGUUUUAGGCUGGGUUUCUGUACAGCACCUUGAGAUAUCAGCUGAUGUACGAAGGGCUAUAUAAAUACAUUUGAUUUGA